AUGUCCGUAUUCAGUUUACCUAAGGGUAUAUGCAAGGAAAUAACAUAUAUUAUUGCACAAUUAUGGUGGGGCGAUGAUGAAGAACCAAAAGAAUGCAUUGGAUGGCGUGGUGGAAAGCUUUGCAUUCCUAAAUGUGAAGAAGGCAUGAGCUUUAGGGACUUAUAUUCUUUCAAUUUGGCUAUGCUCGCAAAGCAGUGUUGGAGGCUGAUUACUGAUCCAACAUCAUUAUGUGCAAGGGUAUUAAAGGCAAAGUAUUACCCCAACGGGAGCUUUCUUGAUGCCACCUCGAAGAGCGGGGCGUCCUUUACAUGGAAAAGUAUACUGAAGGGAUUGGAAAAUUUCAAAAAAGGCUAUAACUGAAGGGUCGGAAUGGGUGAAGAUAUUAACAUAUGGAGUGACACUUGGGUCCCUUCGAGCACUGACAGGAAGAUAAUCACCCCUAGAGGACACACGAUUUUGACUAAAGUCCGUGAGUUGAUUGAUCUGGUGCAAGGAGCAUGGGAUGAGGAAUUGAUCCAAACUAUUUAA
rnacentral:rRNA from 1 species